GCCGUGAUCGUCUAGUGGUUAGGACUUUGCGUUGUGGCCGCAAGAACCCCGGUUAGAAUCCGGGUCGCGGCA
rnacentral:tRNA from 1 species